rnacentral:rRNA from 1 species
CAGUAGCCGCGGUAAUACGUAGGGUGCGAGCGUUAAUCGGAAUUACUGGGCGUAAAGCGUGCGCUGGCGGUUCGUUAAGACAGAUGUGAAAUCCCCGGGCUUAACCUGGGAACUGCAUUUGUGACUGGCGAGCUAGAGUAUGGCAGAGGGGGGUAGAAUUCCACGUGUAGCAGUGAAAUGCGUAGAGAUGUGGAGGAAUACCGAUGGCGAAGGCAGCCCCCUGGGCCAAUACUGACGCUCAUGCACGAAAGCGUGGGGAGCAAACAGGAUUAGAUACCCGUGUAGUCCCUGUCUCUUAUAC